rnacentral:rRNA from 1 species
ACGGCUCAGUAACACGUGGCUAACCUGCCCUUGGGACCAGAAUACCCCCGGGAAACUGGGGCUAAUUCUCGAUAGGUGAAGAACUCUGGAAUGAGUCUUCGCUUAAAAGAGGCUGGGGUUAUGCUCUCCAGUUUCGCCCAAGGAUGGGGCCGCGACCGAUCAGGUUGUUGGUGAGGUAAUGGCUCACCAAGCCUUUUACCGGUGCGGGCCGUGAGAGCGGGAGCCCGGAGAUGGGCACUGAGACAAGGGCCCAGGCCCUACGGGGCGCAGCAGUCGCGAAAACUUUGCAAUAAGCGAAAGCUUGGCAGGGCUAUCCCGAGUGCCAUCCGCUGAGGAAGGCUUUUACCCAGUCUAGAACGCUGGGGGAAUAAGGAGAGGGCAAGUCUGGUGUCAGCCGCCGCGGUAAUACCAGCUCUCCGAGUGGUGUGGAUGUUUAUUGGGCCUAAAGCAUCCGUAGCUGGCUAGGUUAGUCCCCUGUUAAAUCCACCGAAUUAAUCGUUGGAUUGCGGGGGAUACUGCUUGGCUAGGGGACGAGAGAGGCAGACGGUAUUUCCGGGGUAGGGGUGAAAUCCUAUAAUCCCGGGAAGACCACCAGUGGCGAAGGCUGUCUGCUAGAACGCGCCCGACGGUGAGGGAUGAAAGCUGGGGGAGCGAACCGGAUUAGAUACCCGGGUAGUCCCAGCUGUAAACGAUGCAGGCUAGGUGUUUGGACGGCCACGUGCCGUUCUAGUGCCGCAGGGAAGCUGUUAAGCCUGCCGCCUGGGGAGUACGAUCGCAAGAUUGAAACUUAAAGGAAUUGGCGGGGGAGA